rnacentral:rRNA from 1 species
GUGAACGCUGGCGGUAGGCCUAACACAUGCAAGUCGAACGGCAGCACAGUAAGAGCUUGCUCUUACGGGUGGCGAGUGGCGGACGGGUGAGGAAUACAUCGGAAUCUACUUUUUCGUGGGGGAUAACGUAGGGAAACUUACGCUAAUACCGCAUACGACCUACGGGUGAAAGCAGGGGAUCUUCGGACCUUGCGCGAUUGAAUGAGCCGAUGUCGGAUUAGCUAGUUGGCGGGGUAAAGGCCCACCAAGGCGACGAUCCGUAGCUGGUCUGAGAGGAUGAUCAGCCACACUGGAACUGAGACACGGUCCAGACUCCUACGGGAGGCAGCAGUGGGGAAUAUUGGACAAUGGGCGCAAGCCUGAUCCAGCCAUACCGCGUGGGUGAAGAAGGCCUUCGGGUUGUAAAGCCCUUUUGUUGGGAUAGAAAAGCAGCAGGUUAAUACCCCGCUGUUCUGACGGUACCCAAAGAAUAAGCACCGGCUAACUUCGUG